rnacentral:rRNA from 1 species
GUAGCUGGUCUGAGAGGAUGACCAGCCACACUGGAACUGAGACACGGUCCAGACUCCUACGGGAGGCAGCAGUGGGGAAUAUUGGACAAUGGGGGGAACCCUGAUCCAGCAAUGCCGCGUGUGUGAAGAAGGCCUGAGGGUUGUAAAGCACUUUCAGUAGGGAGGAGGGUUGAUUGGUUAAGAGCUGAUUAAUUGGACGUUACCUACAGAAGAAGCACCGGCUAACUCCGUGCCAGCAGCCGCGGUAAUACGGAGGGUGCAAGCGUUAAUCGGAAUUACUGGGCGUAAAGAGUGCGUAGGUGGUUGGAUAAGUUAUCUGUGAAAUCCCUGGGCUUAACCUGGGCAGGUCAGAUAAUACUGUUUGACUCGAGUAUGG